GCUUGAUAGUACUCCAUCUCGAAAGUUCGAACACACUACUGAUCCGUAGGGCUCCCAUGUCGCCGCUGUCUCGGCGACUACUUCUCCGCCGCCGUCGCCGCGGCGCUCUCUCCCUGCCCUGAGAUCUCCGGUCGCCGGACCCGAUAUGGUCCUGCCGCGCCGGCGCGGCGGCCACAACCACCACCCGUGCCCGCGCCGCGCCGUUCUGCCGGCGGCGGCGCUACUGCUGCUCUUCCUCCUCGCCGCCGUCACGCUGCUCUACGUCUCUCCGCCGCCUCUGUCCGACCACCCGGCCCUCGCCUACUCCCGCCGCCGCUCCCCGCAUGCUCUGCUGAACAGCUCUGGCGGCGGCAGCCUAGUGGAGCCCGGGCGCCGCGAGAUUUCCCGCGUUCCAAAAGGUGGUUGGAGUGCGACAGAUGGCCUCUGGGGUUCGAAGCUCGCUAGCAAAUUCUAUGGGUGCAGCAACUCAAGCAGCAAGUUUCUUGAUUCAGGUGUUAUGACACAUCCAGACCGUUAUUUGAUGAUUGUUACAAGUGGAGGCCUCAAUCAACAGAGAACAGGGAUAAUUGAUGCUGUUGUUGCUGCACGUAUUUUAAAUGCAACACUCGUUGUUCCCAAAUUGGACCAAACCUCCUUCUGGAAAGAUGCAAGUGACUUUGCUGAAAUUUUUAACGCCGACUGGUUCAUCUCAUUUCUAUCAAAGGAUGUAAGGAUUGUGAAAGAGCUUCCAAAGAUAGGAGGUAAACUGUGGGCUCCUCAUAGAAUGCGUGUGCCCCGCAAAUGCACUCAGCGAUGUUACUUGAACCGUGUGUUGCCUGCACUUGUUAAGAAACAUGUUGUUCGACUAACAAAAUUUGAUUAUAGGCUAGCAAACAGGUUGGAUUCUGAUCUGCAAAAGCUGAGGUGCAGAGUUAACUACCAUGCAUUGAGAUUUACUGACCCAAUACAAGAAAUGGGUGAAAAGAUAAUACAGAGAAUGCGGGAGAGGAGCACAUAUUUUAUUGCUCUUCAUUUAAGAUUUGAACCGGAUAUGCUUGCCUUUUCUGGGUGCUACUACGGUGGUGGAGAAAAGGAGAAGAGAGAACUUGGUGUGAUACGGAAGAGAUGGAAAACCUUGCAUGCUAGCAAUCCAGAGAAAGAAAGAAGGCACGGUAGGUGCCCACUAACUCCUGAAGAGGUGGGGUUGAUGUUGAGGGCACUGGGCUACAGAAAGAAUGUUCAUAUUUAUGUUGCCUCUGGAGAUAUAUAUGGUGGGGCAAAGACGUUAGCACCCCUGAAAGCGCUAUUCCCCAAUCUUCAUACCAAAGAAACAGUAACAAGCAAAGACGAGCUGGCUCCGUUCUCAAAGUACUCAUCUCGCAUGGCCGCACUUGAUUUCAUUGUCUGUGAUGGAAGUGAUGCUUUUGUGACUAACAACAAUGGUAAUAUGGCCAAAAUUUUGGCUGGGCGAAGGAGAUAUCUUGGGCAUAAGAGAACGAUCCGACCAAAUGCGAGAAAGCUCUACUCGUUAUUCUUGAGCAGAGGAAACAUGUCCUGGGAUGCAUUCUCCUCCAAAGUGCACAUGGCCCAGAAAGGAUUUAUGGGGGAGCCCAAAGAGCUGAGGCCAGGAAGGGGGGAGUUCCACGAGAACCCCACGACAUGUAUAUGUGAAAACACUGAUCCCAAAACACCGACCAAACCUAACCCUCGAAGCGAGCAAGGAUUGAUUAAUGGCACCGAGGGUAGGAAAGCCAUUACCGAGCCCACAGUUGCUAAUCAUACCAACGAGGAGUUGGUAGGAUCCAGUGCGGAAGAAGACGACGCUAGCGUGGAGAAAGAAGACGACACUAGUGCGGAGAAAGAAGAUGACACUAGUGAAGAGAAAGAGGAGAUAGCUGACCCGGAAGCGGAGGAUGAUGCGUUGGUGAGACCAGAUGAUCCUGAGCUGGAGGAGGUUCUUUCAGAUUAGACAAGUUACCCAGGCCGUAGGUAGAUGUUAACCAGCCGGCAGAGUUUUGGUGAGCAGCUGAUGGAUUUUGCCCCUUUAAAUGUACAUAUUUUGCGUGCUGUGUAAAAUAACCCACCCCCUUUCUACUCUAGUUAGCUUGUAGUGUAUCCUCGGCUUUCGUUAGUCCGGUAUCAUAGCGGCUGUGCGCUGAUCUCGUCGAGUUUGUAAUGUGUGUGGUAUGUUGUAGCAUGCGCUUGUUUGUGUUUUAUUCACUUAUCUGUAACUCUCUCUGGUGGUGUCUAAGAUGCACAUCUCUGGCUUAUUUUUGCAGCAUGGGCAUUUGAGCAGCACGCCCGCGGAGUCUGCAUUUCAGCAAAACUGCCAGGUCAAGAUACCUUCUGUCCGAUCAACUUGUUUAUGAACUCCCCCCUUGAAAAAUUGGUUCUAGAAUUCUUGUCGCCUCCGACGGAGGUUCUACAAAUGCCACGCACAUAUACGCAUAGAAAUAAACAGCCUGAUUGCAGCCGAUGAAAUAUGGUGCGUUCUUUUGAUAGCCCGAUCACGUGCCAAAUGGCGUCCUCGCUCUGCUCCAGCCAACAGCAAGAUGCUACUCCCCC
rnacentral:rRNA from 1 species